UCCUCUGUGGGCGUUGGAAAAUUGAGGGGUUCAGACCUUAGUACGAGAGGACCGGGUCUGACGCACCACUGGUGCAUCGGUUGUACUGUCAAGUGCAUGGCCGAGUAGCUAAGUGCGGACGGGAUAAGCGCUGAAAGCAUCUAAGCGCCAAGCCCUUCCCAAGAUGAGUUUUCCCUACAGGUUCGUGGAAGACCACCACGUUGAUAGGUCGCAGGUGUAAGUGCAGCAAUGUAUUGAGCCGAGCGAUACUAAUUACCAAUUGACUUCAUCAUAUUACAU
rnacentral:rRNA from 1 species